rnacentral:lncRNA from 1 species
GUUUGGCUUUGGCUUUUUAUGUAGAAAACAAAGGCAGUUCUGAAAAUACUCACAGGGGCAGGGACUGGCCUUGCUUGAGCCGUCCCUGCACUGAAAACAGUUGAGGUUUUAUGCAAACACUUGUUUUCUGAAGGGAAAUUUACAAGGAGAGAUGAUGAAAGAGCUUGUGGGGAGGAAAUGGGAAGUAAGGGGCAUGGCGAUUGUUUGCAUGAGCCUCAGAGAGCUUGAGAAAGUGGUGCUGGCCAGGUCUCUGCUGUCCUCCAUCCACCUGCGCCUUGAGAACAACUCCCCUGGGUGAAGCACUGAGCCAAAGGCUUAAACAUCCCUUGCAAACUUCAAGGGUGAAGGAAAGGAAAAUCUGGUGGUGUAGCAUCAUAUUGUGCACACUGUCCUUCAGUGAGAGCUUCAUCCAUCUCCUGGCAGAGCAGGGGCAUGAGACCAUUGCUCCAGCUGGCAGAAAUGGAUGGAAGCAAUGUGACAGGAGCAUGUACGACUCCAUCUCUUUUUAACCAUUAGGAACCUAGUGUUUUGGAGCAGUAUCGGAACAAGCACAAUCAGGAAGGCCACAAGAAAUUAAUUUCUGUUUACUUAUUCAUUGUGUAUCUCUGUGUUGUACUGAGGAAAUCAUUGAGACUCCUGCAAUACCCAGUUACUUUCAGCUGCCUUCCUGAAGGAUAUAAGGACUUUCCUGAUGCCAAGUGCUCUGGGGAACUGUUUAAGCGAGCAGCCUGGUACCAGGAGAUAAAGCCAUCUCGUGGAACUGCUGAUGGACCUGAAUACAUUCUGCUGUGCCUCUCUCCUAAAGGCACCGGGGUGAGACAUUAGGACUGGAGGUGGGAUAACACCACAUGGGAAGAGUUUUGUUUUGACCAAGAUGCUCUUUAGCCUUAAUGUAAGGUUCAAGCAAAGAAACGUAUUAAAUUAACGACAAACUAGAGAUACCGUUGGUUGCUAUCGUUAAUACUCAGUAUCAAAGAGAACUGUGGUGCUUAUGCCUCGUAAGGCAGAUGUACAGACAAAAGCCAUGUAACAUCAAAACUGCAUUUGCACAAAUGACCUGUUCCAAGGGGAGCACAAGCUAUGGAUCUGUAUGGAUCUGUAUGGAUCUCAGGACAGCAGCCUUCAAGGACAGGUGAGUGUCCCUGCCCUCACAGGAUGGGGCUGGCCUUUCCCCCCCAGCUCCACACAGGGGCAGGGCACUGCUUGGGUCUGUGUGAAUUCUACUAAAGAGCUGUGACGGUGCACAGGUUUGACAUUGGCUCUCUGACCAGUAGCAAGCAUCACACAGAGAGCCCACAGCUUUCAUCACACUGUUCUCAAAUAACAACCCACUGUGUUUUUACUUAUUUGGCAUGUUUGCUGCCAGCCAGAGAAAGACAGUUGUAUUCUGCAACUAAAAAGGGUGUUUUAAGCUCAAGACUAUUUUCUUUGCAGUGUGCUAUGGACUAGGAGAGGCAGCAAGUCUGUCUUUUCAGUGUAGGAUUAACUCCUGCAAUCUUACUAGAAGCCCCUGCUUCUAAUUACUCCUUCCUUGUCUCUCAGUACUCAGCUGUUGCUAUUAAGCAAAAGAGAAGUUUAAAGUAUUUUGCUGCACUUACUAGGAGCAAUUUUUCAUCCAGUCUAUGAAAUUUGCAGUGCUCACGACAGUGAUAAACUCUCUGUGAAAAGAAAGCAUGCUACCACCUACUAAGUAGAUACGGUACUCUGGAUCCUAUUAAUUUAACAACAGAGAAACUCCUACAGCAUUUCACUGUGCUCUUUAGAUCCUAGCUAAAAUGUGGGACUUGUACAUUGUUGGCUACAAGUUCACUAUUCCAAAUGAACUGAAUAACAGCAGUACAUUUUACAGAUAACCUCAUACAAAUAUUGUCAUCCAUCACUGAUGUUGACAGUUACAGCAGGGUCUAUUGCAUUCUGUUAAGAAUGUAUAAACCUGAUGAGAAAACAAAAAGCACGUUAUUUCACGUUCAUUACCACAGACAUCAAUAAACACAUGAUUCCUUUCCA